GUCUAAGGCCACGCCACCCCGAACACGUCCGAUCCCGUCUGAUCUCAGAAGCUCAGCAGGGUCGGGCCUGGUGAGUCCUUGGAUGGGAGACCACCUAGGAAGACCGGGUGCUAUAGGCA
ensembl:rRNA 5S_rRNA 5S ribosomal RNA